UACGUUGGGUGCGAGCGUUAAUCGGAAUUACUGGGCGUAAAGCGUGCGCAGGCGGUUUGGUAAGACAGAUGUGAAAUCCCCGGGCUUAACCUGGGAAUUGCAUUUGUGACUGCAUCGCUAGAGUACGGCAGAGGGGGAUGGAAUUCCGCGUGUAGCAGUGAAAUGCGUAGAUAUGCGGAGGAACACCGAUGGCGAAGGCAAUCCCCUGGGCCUGUACUGACGCUCAUGCACGAAAGCGUGGGGAGCAAACAGG
rnacentral:rRNA from 1 species